GUGCUCACUUUGGCAGCAUAUAUACUAAAGUUGAAAUGAUACAGAGAAGAUUAUGAUUUCCCCUAAGCAAGGAUAAUACACAAAUUCAUGAAGCAUUCCACAUUUUU